rnacentral:lncRNA from 1 species
UAACAUAAAAAUUUAUUUUAAAGCAUUCUUGACAUUAUUGCAAUUUUUUUCAUUGAUUUUUUUUUCAGUCAGUGUGUAUAAAAAGUAUGCAUAUUCUGAAGUGCCGAUCUUCAAAAUCUUCUGACUUCAAAAACAUUUCCCCAUCCUGAAAUGGUUGAGAUCUACUGCCCUCAGCAGUUACUCUGGGAAGGACAAUGGGAAUCUGUGGAAUCCUGAUCCCUGGACACAUUUGAUUGGUCCAGAUUGCCGUUGAACCAACCAUAGUUCCUUCCAGAGGAAUUUGGAUUUGUGACAACCAGACAGCAUUGGGCCAAUUAUCAUUUUGAGCACCUGGCCUGUAAGGUAUAAAAUUUGUGAAGA